rnacentral:rRNA from 1 species
AAAUUGAAGAGUUUGAUCAUGGCUCAGAUUGAACGCUGGCGGCAGGCCUAACACAUGCAAGUCGAACGGUAACAGGAAGAAGCUUGCUUCUUUGCUGACGAGUGGCGGACGGGUGAGUAAUGUCUGGGAAACUGCCUGAUGGAGGGGGAUAACUACUGGAAACGGUAGCUAAUACCGCAUAACGUCGCAAGACCAAAGAGGGGGACCUUCGGGCCUCUUGCCAUCGGAUGUGCCCAGAUGGGAUUAGCUAGUAGGUGGGGUAACGGCUCACCUAGGCGACGAUCCCUAGCUGGUCUGAGAGGAUGACCAGCCACACUGGAACUGAGACACGGUCCAGACUCCUACGGGAGGCAGCAGUGGGGAAUAUUGCACAAUGGGCGCAAGCCUGAUGCAGCCAUGCCGCGUGUAUGAAGAAGGCCUUCGGGUUGUAAAGUACUUUCAGCGGGGAGGAAGGGAGUAAAGUUAAUACCUUUGCUCAUUGACGUUACCCGCAGAAGAAGCACCGGCUAACUCCGUGCCAGCAGCCGCGGUAAUACGGAGGGUGCAAGCGUUAAUCGGAAUUACUGGGCGUAAAGCGCACGCAGGCGGUUUGUUAAGUCAGAUGUGAAAUCCCCGGGCUCAACAUCGGGAACUGCAUCUGAUACUGGCAAGCUUGAGUCUCGUAGAGGGGGGUAGAAUUCCGGGUGUAGCGGUGAAAUGCGUAGAGAUCUGGAGGAAUACCGGUGGCGAAGGCGGCCCCCUGGACGAAGACUGACGCUCAGGUGCGAAAGCGUGGGGAGCAAACAGGAUUAGAUACCCUGGUAGUCCACGCCGUAAACGAUGUCGACUUGGAGGUUGUGCCCUUGAGGCGUGGCUUCCGGAGCUAACGCGUUAAGUCGACCGCACUGGGGAGUACGGCCGCAAGGUUAAAACUCAAAUGAAUUGACGGGGGCCCGCACAAGCGGUGGAGCAUGUGGUUUAAUUCGAUGCAACGCGAAGAACCUUACCUGGUCUUGACAUCCACAGAACUUUCCAGAGAUGGAUUGGUGCCUUCGGGAACUGUGAGACAGGUGCUGCAUGGCUGUCGUCAGCUCGUGUUGUGAAAUGUUGGGUUAAGUCCCGCAACGAGCGCAACCCUUAUCCUUUGUUGCCAGCGGUCCGGCCGGGAACUCAAAGGAGACUGCCAGUGAUAAACUGGAGGAAGGUGGGGAUGACGUCAAGUCAUCAUGGCCCUUACGACCAGGGCUACACACGUGCUACAAUGGCGCAUACAAAGAGAAGCGACCUCGCGAGAGUAAGCGGACCUCAUAAAGUGCGUCGUAGUCCGGAUUGGAGUCUGCAACUCGACUCCAUGAAGUCGGAAUCGCUAGUAAUCGUGGAUCAGAAUGCCACGGUGAAUACGUUCCCGGGCCUUGUACACACCGCCCGUCACACCAUGGGAGUGGGUUGCAAAAGAAGUAGGUAGCUUAACCUUCGGGAGGGCGCUUACCACUUUGUGAUUCAUGACUGGGGUGAAGUCGUAACAAGGUAACCGUAGGGGAACCUGCGGUUGGAUCACCUCCUUACCUUAAAGAAGC